rnacentral:rRNA from 1 species
UACGUAGGGUGCAAGCGUUAAUCGGAAUUACUGGGCGUAAAGCGUGCGCAGGCGGUGAUGUAAGACAGUUGUGAAAUCCCCGGGCUCAACCUGGGAACUGCAUCUGUGACUGCAUCGCUGGAGUGCGGCAGAGGGGGAUGGAAUUCCGCGUGUAGCAGUGAAAUGCGUAGAUAUGCGGAGGAACACCAAUGGCGAAGGCAGCCUCCUGGGCCAGCACUGACGCUCAUGCACGAAAGCGUGGGGAGCAAACAGG